rnacentral:hammerhead_ribozyme from 1 species
AUCCAUCUGACAAGUCCCAAACAGAAUGAAAUGCGCAUCCUGGAU